UACGAAGGUGGCAAGCGUUGUUCGGAUUUACUGGGCGUACAGGGAGCGUAGGCGGCCAACUAAGUCAGACGUGAAAUCCCCAGGCUUAACCUGGGAACUGCGUCUGAUACUGGAUGGCUUGAAUUCGGGAGAGGGAUGCAGAAUUCCAGGUGUAGCGGUGAAAUGCGUAGAUAUGCGGAGGAACACCGAUGGCGAAGGCAAUCCCCUGGGCCUGCACUGACGCUCAUGCACGAAAGCGUGGGGAGCAAACAGG
rnacentral:rRNA from 1 species